UAAUUGAAGAGUUUGAUCCUGGCUCAGCUUGAACGCUGGCGGCAUGGCUAAAACAUGCAAGUCGAACGCGAACGUUUCUUCGGAGAUUAUUAGAGUGGCGAACGGGCGAGUAAUGCGUUUCUAACGUACCCUGGGGUGAGGGAUAGCUCGAGGAAACUCGAGGUAAUACCUCAUAAUCCCAUCCCACCGCAUGCUGGGAUGGGCAAAGGCUUGCUGCCCUUGGAUCGGGAAACGUGGUAUCAGGUUGUUGGUGGGGUAACGGCCUACCAAGCCUCAGACGCCUAGCGGGUGUGAGAGCAUGACCCGCCGCAUCGGGACUGAGACACUGCCCGGACUCCUACGGGAGGCUGCAGUAACGGAUCUUCCGCAAUGAGCGAAAGCUUGACGGAGCAAUGCCGCGUGCAGGAUGAAGCCCCUCGGGGUGUAAACUGCUGUCAGGUCUUAGGAACACAAUGACCAGGACCAAAGGAAGGGCCGGCUAAGUUCGUGCCAGCAGCCGCGGUAAUACGAACGGCCCGAGCGUUAAGCGGAAUCACUGGGCUUAAAGGGUGCGUAGGCGGAACGGUAAGUAUCUUGUGAAAUCCCACGGCUCAACCGUGGAACUGCAGGGUAUACUGCCGUUCUUGAGGCUGGUAGAGGCUGUCGGAACUCUAGGUGUAGCGGUGAAAUGCGUAGAUAUCUAGGGGAACGCCAAAGACGAAGGUAGGCAGCUGGGCCAGUUCUGACGCUGAGGCACGAAAGCGUGGGUAGCGAACAGGAUUAGAUACCCUGGUAGUCCACGCUGUAAACGAUGUGCACUAGAUUUCGGUGGCUCUGACGUCAUCGGGGUCGAAGUAAAAACAAUAAGUGCACCGCCUGGGGAGUACGGUCGCAAGGCUAAAACUCAAAGGAAUUGACGGGGGCUCACACAAGCGGUGGAGCAUGUGGCUUAAUUCGAAGCAACGCGAAGAACCUUAUCCUAGGUUUGACAUGCAUGGAUUAGCUCCCUGAAAGGGGAGUAACGCGGC
rnacentral:rRNA from 1 species